CUGUGAAGAAACAAAAGUGCAACUCUAGAAGCAAUGGAUGUUUCUUCACAGUAGAUCCAUUGCUUCUAGAGUUGCACUUUUGUUUCUUCACAGU
rnacentral:pre_miRNA from 1 species